rnacentral:misc_RNA from 1 species
GCAAACUUGGUCAUUUAGAGGAAGUAAAAGUCGUAACAAGGUCUCCGUUGGUGAACCAGCGGAGGGAUCAUUACAGAGUUGUCCAAACUCCCAAAACCCCAUGUGAACAUACCUCGCGUUGCCUCGGCAGGGCCGCGCCCGACACCCCCCAAACCCCCGGGUUGCGGUGGGCGGGGUGGCGGUUCUGCCGGCGGCCCUCGAAACUCCGUCUCCUGUGAAAUUCUGAAACUACAAACCUAAAAUAAGUUAAAACUUUCAACAACGGAUCUCUUGGUUCUGGCAUCGAUGAAGAACGCAGC